rnacentral:misc_RNA from 1 species
UCCGAGUUGACCCCGGCAGUCUCCUGCGAGUCCCCGCCAUUACGCGCUGGCAACACAGGACAAGGGUUGCGCUCGUUGCGGGACUUAACCCAACAUCUCACGACACGAGCUGACGACAGCCAUGCACCACCUGUACACCGACUCAAAGAGGGCACUCAUCUCUGGAUGUUUCCGGCGCAUGUCAAGCCCAGGUAAGGUUCUUCGCGUUGCAUCGAAUUAAGCCACAUGCUCCGCCGCUUGUGCGGGUCCCCGUCAAUUCCUUUGAGUUUUAGCCUUGCGGCCGUACUCCCCAGGCGGGGUGCUUAAUGCGUUAGCUUCGGCACGGAGAGGGUUGAAGACCUCCCCACACCUAGCACCCAACGUUUACGGCUGGGACUAC